AGGUACAAUUGGGCAAAAUGAGAGAAUUUUGAAGAUCAACUUUGUUAAUUUAAAAUUUAUGGAAAAUUCAUUUUGCUUUGCCCCAACUUUAGUUUGUUUUUGGAGAAGUCCCCUCUGAUUCUGAGGCACUUCCAGGCCAGUAGAUAGUCAUAAAAAUAUUAGCAUUGUCUUUAGCUUCCUAGAGGGAUGAACUUUCCAGUACAUAAUGUGGAAUGAAUGAUGGAUGAUGGAAUUACAUUCCGAAAUCAUCAUGAGAAUUCCCUUUAUGGCUCAGCAGUUAACAAACCCGACUAGGAUCCAUGAGGAUGAGGGUUCGAUCCCUGGCCUCUCUCAGUGGGUUAAGGAUCCAGCAUUGCCAUGAGCUGUGGUGUAGGUCACAGAUGUGGUUCAGAUCCUGCGUGGCUGUGGCUGUGGUGUAGGCUGGCGGCUACAGUUCCGAUUAGACCCCCAGACCUGAGAACUUCCAUGUGCCGCAGGUGCAGCCCUAAAAAGGAAAAACAAAAAACAAAAAACCCAAAACCACUACCACCGACAAAAAACCCAACUUUUUAGUACCCACACAUCAAUACAUUGCGUGUCUUACAGUUAUGUUAAAAUAUUAUGUCUAGGAAUUCCCUGGUGGCUCAGGGAAUUAAGGAUCUGGCAUAGUCACCUCUGUGGCUCAGGCUGCUGCUGUGGCAUGGGUUUGAUCCCUGGCCCAGAAAUUUCCACAUGUCACAGGUGUGGCCCCCAAUAAUAUAUUAUGUCUCCAUUUUGGUUGAUACCUCAAAGGCUACCAGCAAAUCUAUCCAAAAGCAAAGUUCUAGGUCACUAAAUAAGUGCCUAUGUAGAGAAUUGAUUCAGUGACUGAGGGGAUUUCUUUGGUAAGAACUGGUGUGCUAGGUAAGCCUCACUCAACUCCAGAAGGAAAUGAGGGUGCUUCCCCUUAACUUAAGCUGAGAGAGAGAGAAAAAAAAAAUAACAAGUUAAAGAGCCCUGGAAUUUUAGAGUCCAAGGACUCAUAUACUCUGAUGUGGCUGAGGAACAAGAAACUAGAAAACUGCUUUUCCUCUGAUGAUGGGGAAAGGAUGCAAGAUGUUGCUCUUGGUCAGCAGUGGGCUUACAGGUAGGAGUCCACCUGGGCCUACAGGUAGGAGUCCACCUGGAACCGUUUUGAUUCCACAGGAGACUUCCGGAAGCAGAAGCUGUAAUGGCAACAGAGCCACUGGAGGACAACCAGAUGCUUAGGGACUGAGCCAGGACGCAGAAGGAGGCAGUCUCAGGACCUGUGCUCAGAUGUCCCAGAGGUUUGUCUCCAAGGUCCUUAGAAGAGGCCACAAAAUGUGGGGACCUUCUGCAUCUAGGGAGCAUUGUCCUUGCCCACUCUUGUCCCUUGCACUGGCCUUCAGGAACUGAUGAGACUCCUGGCCUUCAGGGAGAAGACCCUGAAUUCAGACACUCUAUCAGCAGCCUCUCCAGGGUCAGUUAAUAGCUGUCACUUCCCUGUGUUCAUAAAAGCAGCCCUACAUUAGGUUGUAUGAGUCUGAAUGAUGAUCUCUGCUCUUUGGGUAUACUUUUGUUCAUAGGUAAGUAGUAUUUGUUAAUUGCUUAGCUAUAGCUCUACCUCUCUUAGAGAUUACUUUUCUAUGCCUUACUCUUUGGAUGAGAGACCAAGUGAGUGGGACAGUGAGGUGUAAUGACCUGGGAGGUUUCAAGGGAAGGGGUAAUUGAAUUGUCUGUCCUGUCCUGUGGGCGACAGGCUUAGUAUAUGUGAACCAGGGAGCUUCCGUAAUUUCGGGUAUUUCAGUAUCACUCAGAAUGGCCCUCUGCUGGCUUACUGAUUCUUUAUUAUUAAAUAAAGAACAGGGAGUUCCCGUUGUGGCUCAGCAGGUUAUGAACCCGACUAGUAUCCAUGAGGAUGUCAGUUUGAUCCCUGGCCUCGCUCAAUGAGUUAAGGAUCUGGUGUUGCCAUGAGCUGUGGUGUAGGUUGCAGAUGAAUUGCUGUGACUGUGGUGUAGGCUGGCAGCUGCAGCUCUGAUUUGACCUCUAGCCUGGGAAUUUCCAUAUGCC
rnacentral:lncRNA from 1 species